GUGCUGAAUUAUUCGCCAAUGCGCGAAAGCGUGACGGUGCGACGCCGCGUGCGGGACGAAGGCCUUCGGGUUGUAAACCGCUGUCAAGGUAUAGAAAACCGUCGGAGUUAAUAGCUCCGGCGCUGAUCCUACCUAAAGGAAGCACAGGCUAACCUCGUGCCAGCAGCCGCGGUAAUACGAGGUGUGCGAGCGUUGUUCGGAAUCACUGGGCAUAAAGGGUGCGUAGGCGGUGCGCCAAGUCGGGUGUGAAAUCCCUUCGCUUAACGGAGGAACUGCAUUCGAUACUAGCGUGCUAGAGGGUAAAAGGGGCAAGCGGAAUUCUAGGUGUAGCGGUGGAAUGCGUAGAUAUCUGGGAGAACGCCGAGGGCGAAGGCAGCUUGCUGGGUUACUUCUGACGCUGAGGCACGAAAGCUAGGGGAGCAAACAGGAUUAGAUACCCGUGUAGUCC
rnacentral:rRNA from 1 species